UGGGGAAUAUUGCGCAAUGGGCGAAAGCCUGACGCAGCGACGCCGCGUGAGGGAUGAAGGUUUUCGGAUCGUAAACCUCUGUCCGAAGGGAAGAAACCGCACUGUGCUAAUCAGCAGUGCCCUGACGGUACCUUCAAAGGAAGCACCGGCUAACUCCGUGCCAGCAGCCGCGGUAAUACGGAGGGUGCAAGCGUUAAUCGGAAUUACUGGGCGUAAAGCGCACGUAGGCUGCUUUGUAAGUCAGGGGUGAAAUCCCACGGCUCAACCGUGGAACUGCCUUUGAUACUGCUUAGCUUGAAUCCGGGAGAGGGUGGCGGAAUUCCAGGUGUAGGAGUGAAAUCCGUAGAUAUCUGGAGGAACAUCAGAGGCGAAGGCGGCCACCUGGACCGGUAUUGACGAUGAGGUGCGAAAGCGUGGGGAGCAAACAGG
rnacentral:rRNA from 1 species